UGAACUCCUCUGUCACACCUACAGCACACCUCACCACGGUUUUACAGCUCUCAUACAUGUCGUGCUUUAGCAACAUUCAAAUGUAACAACCGGGAGAGUUAGCUAACUUGUUAGCGGUUAGCUAGUUCUAUGUGUAGAUAAUGUGAGCAGCGACGGAGAAAAAGAGAUGGGGAGCCCUCUCAACAAACAAACAAAAGUUAUCACAGCAGCAAGCGCAGUGGGACACGACUAUCACUUGGAUAUCGACCAAUUCACCUCCAGGAGAAGGGGCUUUGGCAUCAAGUAACACUUCGACUGCUUGCUACUAGAACGGUCUGACAGGGAGAAAAAGUAGGUGGAGAAAGAAGAAAGAAACUGAGCAACAGUUGCAUGUUUAGCUACUGUAGUUUUCCUCUAGGAUAUCAUUAGCUGUAAUUCUGCCUUCAAAUGGUAACCAGAUGACAGUGAGCAAACACACACACACACACACACACACACACACACACACACACACGAAAGGUUCAAACGAUUUUACACACAUUUUUUCCAAAACCCUUUAAGUUGUAGUAUUUUUCCAUCACUAUUUCAGAUUGCAUUAAAGCAUGUCAGAUUUUUGCUGUAAAUAAAAAAAAAAGGCUGUUUUGAAUUGUGCAGAUCUACAUCCUGAAAACAAAAGCAUAUUUUGGACAGCAGCAGCUCAUUAGAGAGAAGCUCUAGACCCACACAGUGUAUAAUGCAUCCUACAGAAACAGAGAGGGAGGAAGCGAGAGAUGUAGAUUUGUCCCUGUGGUUGAAAGGGAGAGCAGUGCACUGUGUGUGUGAAUAUGCUAUCUGCAGGUAGCAGCCAGUGCGGGGUAGAUCAAAGAGAGGCGUGUGCUGUUCUGGUCCCCAGCCAGAGGACCUCUCACCUUGUGGCAGGCAGCGUGAGCCCUGUGGACGUGACAAGGAUGGCGAGGGGGGGCUGGCUGUGUAAGUGGGAGAGGGACUGAGAGCAGACAGAGAGAGAUUUUGUUCGUGGUUUUGUUUAUAUUUGUAUCUUUGCAGAAGUGCAGAUUAUAAGAGUAAAGAGUAUAUAGGAGACCAGUAAAAGUGUAUUUUGAGUACUUUCUUAAACAAGGUGAGUAAAUUUGAGUUGCUAAUAUGGAUGAAGAAAGUGAUUCAGAAGGUGGGGAUGGCAGGCAAAUGCCUCUUCAUCCUAUGAUCUGUCUUUAGUCUUAAGUGAUAUUCAGACUGAAAAUGGAGCUGCGUUCAAAAAUUGCAUUGGGGUGAAUGUGUUACUACAGGUACAGAUGAGAAUAUAAAAUGUUAUCCAGGGGGGAGUAAUAGAUCCACGAGCAUCCAUCAGACAGUGAAACACUGCACAGCAGUUAAUAACACAGGAUUUUCUAAAGGUAGAAAGUUAUUGCAGCCACAAUCAUUUUAUCCUCCAUCUUGACAAUCACAAGGUGAACACUAGAAUUUCCCCCGUUAGCGCUACAAAGUAAUCUACCAUCAAUGUGUGUUUGCACGUAUUUGAUUGGCCAUCUCCAAGCAGGAUUCUGGAGGAGUCUGGAAGAUAGACCACAGUGGAGAUUAAUGAGUAGAUGAAAGUUGUAGGAGAUGUAGAUUUUUUUUCGAUGAAAAAGGUUUGAAGGACAGAACAGAAUCAAAAUGCAAAAGGAAAAUGACUGGAACCCUAUACACAGAGGAAGAAGUUUUGCAUGUGCUUAUCGAGGGAUUUUAGGACCAAUGAUGAUGACUUUUGACAUUUUCAUCCAUUUUUUUAUUUUUAUUUUUUAUAUCCUUGAGACAGUCGGGGAUGAUAAGCGGGUGGUGCUAUCCGAUUACUUAGCUCAUAGAGGCAGGGCUGAAAAGUGAAGCAUUCGUUUUAACCAAAGCCUAUCCUAAAAGAUGGUAAUUUUAGUUUCAAGAGAUCAUUUUGACAACAAAUGUGUUUAAAUAACCUGUCAACUAAUAACUAUCAUCUCUACAGAAAAAGAAUGAGGCAAGGUGUACAGCAAUAGUGCAGUUUGACUGGAUAUGCAUGUUUGUGUGGAACAUUCUAUUAUUCUAACGCAUGAGCAUAAAACUCACUCUCAGACCGACAGUAGGCCUCAGUGUGUCACAUAGUGUGUCAACAGCCCACAGCUCACCCGACAACCAAAAAAAAAACUUAUAAAUUUUACAACCCUGAUUGAAGUGUGUGUUUGUGUGUGCACUGUAUUAUGUGCUUGGGUGUGCACGUCUGCCUUGAAAGGAAGUUGACAUACCCUGAAGCUUUCCAGGGAAAAUCACAGGUCACUGGGAGAGGCUACCUGGGAUGCUGACAGAGAGGAUGUGUCCUCUUUACAACCACUCCACGUAGCCACGUAGCUCCCAAGCAACAACAACAUAUCUUCUUUUAUAGCAAGUAAUGCAUGAUUUAGCUUUUCAAGGUAGUAUCUAAAGUAUUUUUUUUCAUUUUUCCGAGUGUUUUGCCAGAAGGGUCAUUGACCUGGGUAUACCAUUGUUGAUCCAUUCAUAACAAUGACGUUGCUUUAGUGUGAAAGGGGUAUAAGUAACAAGGAAGGAAAGUAAGGAAAUGAGAAAAGCGAACAGGGAUGGAAAUGUGAAGAAUAGAAACGGAGAAUAACGAUUAUAGAACUUUCUCUGCAAUAGCAUAGAAAGUGAAGUGCAUGUCUUCCUGUCUCUUCUAGUAUAUAACAAUUCUGGUAUGCUGCUCAUUCAGUCAGCCCAUUGUUUCUCUCAGCUUAUUUAUGUUGCAAGGGUCCUCAGCCAAAAGCAAUAAAUUUGAAAACUGCCCCAGGGGUGGCAUUACAGGGCAGGUUGUUGAGAGAGAGAGAGAGAAAGAAAGAGAGAGAAGAAAGAGAGAGAAUGCAAGUAUGACAACAAGAGAGACUGUAAAUACAAGAUAGCAAGCACAUAAAAUAUAGAGAGGGAAGCAGAAAUGCAUAAGCUGAAAUAAUUUAGACAUUUUGCCCACUUACCAAGCCUGAAUGAAUAAUGUGGCCUCAGAUUUGUGUUUCUCUUUUCUGUGUCCAUAUGAAAAUUAGCUUUAGCUAUUUUGUUCUUUAUAAGUUGGUGAGUGAAGAGUUGUCUCUCAUUUAUUAUUAGACACAGCUACAUAUAACUAACAUUAACCAUAACUGUUUUAAAAGACAAUUUAAAACUGCGCCAAGUGAAAUUGUUAAAGCCAAUGUAUUUUUAAAACUGCCAGAAGGAAGAGAUUUUCAAUUAUUUGAGCAUGUAUAGAUCUUGUCAUGGAUUAUCUUGAUGGUCUAAAUUUGUGAAAGGAAUACCUAAUAAAUUGGCAACUCAGUGAUCUACAAAAUAUUUUUUUGCUGUAAUUUUGAAUGCAGGUCAAAACAGAUUCUUUAGCAAAUAUUGCCAUCAUGCAUUACUUGCAUUUUAGUGUGCUAAAGUUAUACUCUGAUUUCUUCUGAGCUCACUUAAAAAAAUCAAGUGACAUUUUAGGAUUCAUAAGCACUACAGGGGGCUGUAAUAACAUCUGUUUUUCUUUUGUGUGCAUUCCUACCCUUAGCAUCAAGUGACAGGAAGUGUUACACCAUUUGAUAUUGGCACUGACAUGCUGCUAUCCUGAUCCUGGAUGUGUCUCGCAUCUAGCUCACUCAUGUCAGAAAUCAAGUUAACAUUUAGGAUUUCUCAAAUUGGUUUUCUGUAAAAUCCCUGUAGUAGAGGAUAUUCUCCAUGUUUCAUGAUCCCUACUAUAGGCCUUUCAUGUAAUGUACUCUGCAGCUGAUGCCUGCCAACAGUAUCAAAAGGAGAGAUUUAAGGCUGCCACAGUCAGGUAUGGUGGGGGAUCUGUGAUAAGAGGCAAAGAUAUGAGGUCCUGACAUCCAUGUCUCAUUUAAUAAGUGAUCGGAGGCCAGGGCCACAGCAGAGCAUAGACAGACAGAUACAUCAAAAAACUCAGGGGUCUAGCUACAGGAGGAGAUGGAGCCAUUGUGGGAUCAAAGUGUCAGAGAAAAAGAGGGGGAAAAAUCUCUAGCACCCUAUAGAAAUGUAACCAUGCAACAACCACUGCUGCAGCAGCAGGUUUCAUGUGCUUACAGCUCUGUACAAUAAUAACAACAACAAAAAAGAAAGUUACAUUACACUGUCAGUCACCUCAUCUUCUAUGCAGGAUCAAGCCUGAUGCUUUGUGUGUGCGUGUGUGGUCUGUUUUGCAUCAUGUUUGUGAAGACUGACUAUUAAUGACCCCUAUUCUUGUGAGGACAUUUUGGCUGCUCCUUACAGUGAAACAAGCUAUAUUUUAUUGUCACAAAUUGACACUGUGGGCGGCAGUCAACCUAUCAUGAACUGAUACUAAGGAUAGAAAAUGAAUUUAAUUAUGGCAAAGGCUGGAGGUUACCUUGUUUCUUGGGACCAGUAAUACAGUAUGCCAAGUAUAUAAAUCAGUUCAAUAAUUAAAGAGGAAGAAAAAGAAAGAAGGGGCAUAAAAAUCAAGUUAUCCUCAUUUCUGGUCUUUUUAUUUCCCAUCAUCAACUGUUUUACAAUGCGCAUUUCAUUAUUAUGCAUUUGUAAUCUUUUUUGUCUGUACAUAUUUACAUAUUCUGGCAUUCAGAUGUGAUAAAUUUAACAGAUCAAGUCACUCAUGAACUAUUAUUGAAUGCCUCCAUGGAAUUAGUCACAAAUUUCCCAAGGUAUCUUGCUUUCACGCAUGUUCUCAAGUCUCCAGUGUUUCUCCCAUGAUUGAGGCCAGAGCAGAACAGAUUAAGCUAGUAUGUGUGCGGUUAAUAGAGUGCAGGAGCCAAGCAGCAGUAGGACCAGGGACAAUAGCAGGAAGAGACCACAGGGAGGGGGCUGCCGGUCACCAUGAC